GAGGGGAAAAAUGAGAAAAAGCUUCCAGGUUUAAAUCAGUCCAUGAUAAGAGGGGAAAAAUUAGAAAAAGCUUCCAGGUUUAAAUCAGUCCAUGAUAAGAGGGGAAUAAUGAGAAAAAGCUUCCAGGUUUAAAUCAGUCCAUGAUAAGAGGGGAAAAAUGAGAAAAAGCUUCCAGGUUUAAAUCAGUCCAUGAUAAGAG